rfam:Nematostella vectensis strain CH2 x CH6 NEMVEscaffold_66_Cont9643, whole genome shotgun sequence.
UGACCUCAGAUCAGGCAAGGCUACCCGCUGAAUUUAAGCAUAUUAAUAAGCGGAGGANAAGAAACUAACAAGGAUUGAUCCGUAUAGAUCCAAAUAGAUCCGUAACUUCGGGAAAAGGAUUGGCUCUAAGGGUUGGGUCUGUCGGGCUGAGACUUGAAGCCAGUGGACCCGGCCCGGACUGGCCGAGGCCCUUCAGGGGGUCGAAGCU